rnacentral:rRNA from 1 species
AGAGUUUGAUCCUGGCUCAGAACGAACGCUGGCGGCGUGGAUAAGACAUGCAAGUCGCACGGAGAAAAGACAGUUUACUAGCUUUUCUGAGUGGCGCACGGGUGAGUAACACGUGAGCAACCUGCCUCUUAGUGGGGGAUAGCCCUGGGAAACCGGGAUUAAUACCGCAUAUCAUCGCAAGAUGAAAGCAGCAAUGCGCUAAGAGAGGGGCUCGCGGCCUAUUAGUUAGUUGGUGAGGUAACGGCUCACCAAGGCGAUGACGGGUAGCCGGUCUGAGAGGAUGUCCGGCCACACUGGAACUGAGACACGGUCCAGACACCUACGGGUGGCAGCAGUCGAGAAUCAUUCACAAUGGGGGAAACCCUGAUGGUGCGACGCCGCGUGGGGGAAGAAGGUCUUCGGAUUGUAAACCCCUGUCAUGUGGGAGCAAGCUAGCAAUAGUUGAUAGUACCACAAGAGGAAGAGACGGCUAACUCUGUGCCAGCAGCCGCGGUAAUACAGAGGUCUCAAGCGUUGUUCGGAAUCACUGGGCGUAAAGGGUACGUAGGCUGUACCAUAAGUCGGGCGUGAAAGGCAGGGGCUCAACCUCUGGAGUGCGCUUGAUACUGUGGUACUUGAGUCAU